AUCAUAUAAACAGUUCAUGGACUACAGAAACUUCAAAUCAAAAGAAAGACAGUCCUUUAGCUGUGGGUCAAAGAGACGACUAAAACAAGAACAGAGACAAGUUCAGAUUAACAAAGGAUUGAUGGUGCCAAAUGGAAGUGAUUUAAAACCUGUAAGAGGGAAAACACUCCCAUUAUUUACAGACCCUCUGGUAGCAGCACCUGAUCUGCUGAAACUAGCUGUCCAGAAAAAGAGAACAUUUAACAGGGACAUGGAUGAAGGGCCAUAUAUACUUUUGUAUCCAGAUUGCUCAGAGGUGGUCAAUGUGCCUGGGACAGAAAGGCCAUUCAUAUUGGCAGAAUAUAAAAAGGAAAUAGGAAAGGCAUAUUGCAGGAUCUCUUUUUUUAUAUGCCUUGAAAAAGACUUCAGAAGAGGUUUUUGAAGACUGCAACCAAAGUACACCCAAACACAAACUAGAAGAUGUAGUAGAUGCAUCCAGACAUUCAUCAACGAUUCAAGCUGGACAGAUAGUAAUAUCUGAUACUGAAGAUACUCUACCUGAAUACAAUGUGACUAAGUCCACUUACUACAGUAAAUAUACAAACCUUUAUGCACCAUGUGUUGAAGAAGAGGAUGAAGAGCCAGUUCCUGUAAAUUUGGGGAAUUUAUCAGACGCAACCAUAGAGGAGGUAAACAUCACAGUACCUGAUAUCAUUGCAAAGCUGUCGCAUCAUAUUGAUCAUGGAAGAGUUAGCCGGUUCAACAUUACAAGGUCAAAUGUCUGGGAUGGAGCAGUCCGAGGCUUCAAGCGUGCAACAUAUUCAGAAACCUGUGAUAUGCUAGUCAGAUUUACUGAUGAUGCUGGUGUUUUUGAGGAUGGAAUUGAUACAGGUGGUCCAAGACGAGAGUUUCUUACUCUACUAAUGAACCAUCUUAAAGACUGACCAAUUUUUGAUGGACCAACAGGACAACGUUACUUAGUCUACAAUGCAAAUGCUCUCAGGGAGGAGGAGUACUUCUUGGCAGGAAAGAUGAUUGCGGUAUCAGUUGUUCAUGGAGGCCCAGGUCCGCAUUUCAUCUCAGAAGAUCUUGUACUGUAUCUUGCAGGCCAGCCUUCAUUCAAAGCAACAGUGAAUGAUGUAACUGAAGAAAAAAUAAA